CUUGUCCUCCCCAAAUUAGGGGUUGUGGGUCACAAAGGAAGAAAGCAUCAGAUGUCACCCCUACUGCCAUAUCUAGUAGGAGAUACAGCUGAGACAGUCGGCAGCCCUGCAACUCAUUAUACUCGCUCCUGCAGGGAAUGAGGAUUUUGGU